rnacentral:rRNA from 1 species
GACGAACGCUGGCGGCGUGCUUAACACAUGCAAGUCGAACGGAAAGGCCCUGCUUUUGUGGGGUUCUCGAGUGGCGAACGGGUGAGUAACACGUGAGUAACCUGCCCUUUACUUUGGGAUAACUUCAGGUAACUGGGGCUAAUACCGGCUAGUAGCUUCUGCUGCAUGGUGGGGGUUGGAAAGUUUCGGCGGUUGGGGAUGGACUCGCGGCUUAUCAGCUUGUUGGUGGGGUAGUGGCUUACCAAGGCUUUGACGGGUAGCCGGCCUGAGAGGGUGACCGGCCACAUUGGGACUGAGAUACGGCCCAGACUCCUACGGGAGGCAGCAGUGGGGAAUAUUGCACAAUGGGCGGAAGCCUGAUGCAGCAACGCCGCGUGCGGGAUGACGGCCUUCGGGUUGUAAACCGCUUUCGCCUGUGACGAAGCGUGAGUGACGGUAAUGGGUAAAGAAGCACCGGCUAACUACGUG